rnacentral:tRNA from 2 species
CAUCUCCCUUACACCGAGAAGUCGCCCGUGCAAACCGAGCCACCCUG